UACGUAGGGAGCGAGCGUUGUCCGGAAUUACUGGGUGUAAAGGGAGCGUAGGCGGGAUGGCAAGUCAGAUGUGAAAACUAUGGGCUCAACCCAUAGAUUGCAUUUGAAACUGCUGUUCUUGAGUGAGGUAGAGGUAAGCGGAAUUCCUGGUGUAGCGGUGAAAUGCGUAGAGAUCGGGAGGAACAUCGGUGGCGAAGGCGGCUUACUGGGCCUUUACUGACGCUGAGGCUCGAAAGCGUGGGGAGCAAACAGG
rnacentral:rRNA from 1 species